rnacentral:rRNA from 1 species
GGUUUUCGGAUCGUAAAGCUCUGUUGUUAGGGAAGAACAAGUGCAAGAGUAACUGCUUGCACCUUGACGGUACCUAACCAGAAAGCCACGGCUAACUACGUGCCAGCAGCCGCGGUAAUACGUAGGUGGCAAGCGUUGUCCGGAAUUAUUGGGCGUAAAGGGCUCGCAGGCGGUUUCUUAAGUCUGAUGUGAAAGCCCCCGGCUCAACCGGGGAGGGUCAUUGGAAACUGGGAAACUUGAGUGCAGAAGAGGAGAGUGGAAUUCCACGUGUAGCGGUGAAAUGCGUA